ensembl:lncRNA
GUGGGUGACAGUGGAGUAUCUUGACUGUGGAGUAUCUUGACUGUGGGUGGCAGUGGAGUAUCUUGACUGUGGAGUAUCUUGACUGUGGGUGGCAGUGGAGUAUCUUGACUGUGGAGUAUCUUGACUGUGGGUGUCAGUGGAGUAUCUUGACUGUGGAGUAUCUUGACUGUGGGUGGCAGUGGAGUAUCUUGACUGUGGAGUAUCUUGACUGUGGGUGUCAGUGGAGUAUCUUGACUGUGGAGUAUCUUGACUGUGGGUGGCAGUGGAGUAUCUUGACUGUGGUUGGCAUGGAGUAUCUUGACUGUGGAGUAUCUUGACUGUGGGUGGCAGUGGAGUAUCUUGACUGUGGGUGUCAGUGGAGUAUCUUGACUGUGGGUGGCAGUGGAGUAUCUUGACUGUGGAGUAUCUUGACUGUGGGUGCUAUGGAGUAUCUUGACUGUGGAGUAUCUUGACUGUGGUGGCAGUGGAGUAUAUUGACUGUGGAGUAUCUUGACUGUGGGUGGUAGUGGAGUAUCUUGACUGUGGGUGGCAGUGGAGUAUCUUGACUGUGGGUGGCAGUGGAGUAUCUUGUCUGUGGAGUAUCUUGACUGUGGGUGACUGUGGAGUAUCUUGACUGUGGGUGUCUGGAGUAUCUUGACUGUGGGUGUCUGUGGAGUAUCUUGACUGUGGGUGUCUGUGGAGUAUCU